GUGUGUGUGUGUGUGUGUGUGUGUGUCUGUCUGUCUGUCUGUCUGUCUUGCCUCACCUUUCCUGUCUGAUUGCAUUGGGAUUACAGAUUCCCUACUUUUCUUCCCUGCACUUCCAGUUUCUUUAAGCUUCAACAGUAUUACACCUGCAGAGAAAUCAAAAUUGCCCUGGGUCUGUUAAGUCUUGCCAUGAGCCUCUCCUGGGAGACCCUUAUUAUUUAAAAAAAUAUAUAUAUUUAUUUAUUUAUUAUAUAUAAGUACACUGUAGCUGUCUUCAGACAACACCAGAAGAGGGCAUCAGAUCCCAUAACAGGUGGUUCUGAGCCACCAUGUAGUUGCUGGGAUUUGAACUCAGGACCUCUGGAAGAAUGGUCAGUGCUCUUAACCACUGAGCCAUCUCUCCAGCCCCUGGGGGACCCUUCUCUGAGCCCCUUUGAAAGUUCCUUUGGAAGCCAAGGUGAUUUGGGGCCUCCCUGAAUGUUCUUGGCAGGAGGCCCUCAUUCCAGAGCAGAUAGGGCCUGUCUUUCAGGAAGUUUCUAAUCUUCCUCUUUCUUCUGGGCCAGGUUUUUAUGAAUGAUAAGGCAGAAGAGUGUGUGAAGCUCACAAGCCUAUACUUGUUUGCAAAGAAUGUGAGGUCUUUGCUUCAUACCUAUCACUACCAGCAGAUUUUUCUUCAUGAAUUUGCCAUGGCCUAUACUAAAUAUGUAGGAGAAACACUGCAGCCCAAAACUUAUGGCUACAGUAGUGUGGAGGAGCUACUGGGAGCCAUCCCACAGGUGGUCUGGAUAAAAGGACAUGGUCAUAAGAGAAUUGUAGUGUUAAAAAAUGACAUGAAAAACCGGCUAAGUUCAUUUGACCUUUCCCCUGUCAAUCAUGAAGACCAGCCUGCAGUCAGCAGGCAGAUCCUGGAGGUGCCAGAACCCCAUCUAGCCUCAGAGCUCCAUCUCAGAACAGGACCCAGCCAGAUGGAGCAGGAACUUCUGCAAUUGGCCAACAGCUCCCCUGUUGACCUUCUCUGUGCUCCUGUUCCUUCAUGCCUGCCAUCCCCUCAGCUAAGACCAGAUCCUGUCAUCCUGCAGCCCACUGAUCUCAUUCAGUUUGAGGAACACCCUCAGGAGCCUUUGGGAGUUUUAUUUUUAAACCAAGAAGAAAAAACAGAAAUUCCAAUACCAGUAAAGAAGGGGAACCUGUCCUGUAACUCCUCACCCAGUAGCCCAGCAUCUGCUUCUGCUCCUCCCAAACCCUCCUCAGAAGCCCCCGGGCUACUGAUUAGCAAGGAUGCAGUGGAAAGCCCAGCAAAAAAGCAGCCCAAAAAUAGAGUCAAAUUGGCAGCCAACUUUUCUUUUGCACCUGUGACCAAGCUCUAACUUCCAGUUUGAACACAGAAUUAAAUUAG
rnacentral:lncRNA from 14 species